rnacentral:rRNA from 1 species
CAAUAAGCGGAGGAAAAGAAACCAACCGGGAUUACCUCAGUAACGGCGAGUGAAGCGGUAACAGCUCAAAUUUGAAAUCUGGCUCCUGCGGAGUCCGAGUUGUAAUUUGUAGAAGAUGCUUUGGGAGGUAGGCUCGGCCUAAGUUCCUUGGAACAGGACAUCAGAGAGGGUGAGAAUCCCGUAUGUGGCCGUGGCCUACGCCCGUGUAAAGCUCUUUCGACGAGUCGAGUUGUUUGGGAAUGCAGCUCAAAAUGGGUGGUAAAUUUCAUCUAAAGCUAAAUAUUGGCCAGAGACCGAUAGCGCACAAGUAGAGUGAUCGAAAGAUGAAAAGCACUUUGGAAAGAGAGUUAAACAGUACGUGAAAUUGUUGAAAGGGAAGCGCUUGCACCCAGACUUGGGCGUCGUCGAUCAUCCGAGGUUCUCCUCGGUGCACUCGGCGAGGCACAGGCCAGCAUCGGUUUGGAUGGUUGGAGAAAGGCUCUAGGAACGUAGCUCUCUUCGGGGAGUGUUAUAGCCUAGGGCGUAAUGCAGCCCAUCUGGACCGAGGACCGCGCCUUCGGGCUAGGAUGCUGGCGUAAUGGUUGCAAGCGAC